CACGAACGCUGGCGGCGUGCCUAACACAUGCAAGUCGAACGGAAAGGCUCCAGCUUGCUGGAGUACUCGAGUGGCGAACGGGUGAGUAACACGUGGGUAAUCUGCCCUGCACUCUGGGAUAAGCCUGGGAAACUGGGUCUAAUACUGGAUAUGACCUUUCUCCUUAUGGGGUUUGGUGGAAAGUUUUUCGGUGUAGGAUGAGCCCGCGGCCUAUCAGCUUGUUGGUGGGGUGAGGGCCUAUCAAGGGGACGACGGGUAGCCGGCCUGAGAGGGGGAUCGGCCACAUUGGGACUGAGAGACGGCCCAGACUCCUACGGGAGGCGGCAGUGGGGAAUAUUGCACAAUGGGCGGAUGCCUGAUGCAGCGACGCCGCGUGAGGGAUGACGGCCUUCGGGUUGUAAACCUCUUUCAGCAGGGACGAAGCGUAAGUGACGGUACCUGCAGAAGAAGCACCGGCUAACUACGUGCCAGCAGCCGCAGUAAUAC
rnacentral:rRNA from 1 species